ensembl:lncRNA
AAAUAAAAUAGAUAAUCACAUAUAAAGUUACAGAGCUAAGAUGGGACAUAUGAUGGAAAUUCAUAGGCAACAAGAUCGGUGUGGCUUGAGACACCAAAGCUUUCUCAAGUCUGUCAUUACACUGGGAUGCCUGGGGGACUCAGUCGGUUAAAGAGUCGGUUAAACUCAGACUCUUGAUUUCCGCUCUGGUUGUGAUCUCAGGGUGGUGAGAUCCAGCCCCAGGGGCUCCGCGCUCAUCAUGGAAUCUGCCCGCAUAUUCUCUCCUUCUGCCCCUCCCCCCACUCACGCAGUGCUCUCUCGCACUCUCUCUCUAAAAUAAAUAAAUCUUUUUUCAAAAAAUCUGUAAGUACCCACCAACGACCUCAGAUUACAGGAGCUGGUCUGAUUCUCUCCACUUGUUAUGAGAAGAAUCUGUGAUCCGAAGCGGUGAUACCUGGCUCAAGACCACAGAAAUCACUCGUGGAAUCAACCAGCUCCUUCACCGCAGCUUCCAUGCCUGGCCUUCAUGAACCCCAAGGUUUUCUGAGCCAAAUUACCAUGCAUUUCCCCCAGUAAACCCACCAAGUCCUUUGCUCCUGAAAACUACCCUCAACUUUGCCAGCUACAAAUGUUUACCCGACCCCAAUCUCAGCUCUCCUCAGUUCCAAGGUUCCACUUUUGGAAAAACUAGUAGGCUAGGGGGUUGGCGUGGGGGACGAUUUGGGAGUCGCCAAAGCACUCACCAGAUCCACGAGGGGGCAAAAGAGAGCCAACGGACGGGCUGCCAUCCUUUCUCUGACUCCCAACCCCGGGAGGAAGUGGAGUAAGAGAGGAGAGGAGGCCCAACUUUGGGCUGGGAUGGGGAGGCAGGGGCCGAGGGAAGGGGAGGCCCCAAGAGCACGUCAACGGCUCCCCUCGCCCUCAGAUCCACGGUGCGAAGGGCCUCUGUCACCCCCACCGCUAGGCAGAGCGCGGUUAGGGCUGGAGUCUAGCCUCCGAGGCAUCUAGGCAUGGUGGAGACAUCAUUUCCUCUUUCUAUCAUCAUCUAUUCUAAUGGGAGGGAGAAGAGGAAGUGAAGACUCUUCCCAAGACCUAGGGAGAACUGCUCCAGUUCUUCUUUCCAGGGGGUUAGGGAGAGGCUAUAGAUAAAGCAGAUGGACCUGAAUGCAUGAAGACGCCUCCCUUCAGCCCAGUUAUCUGGGAUGCCUGUCCCUCCCGGCAUAAAAAGAGCUAUCUCCCCCCCACACACCCGCCCCACCUACCUCAGGUGCCCCCACGCCGAGGCAGCUCAUGCUGGGCUUUCUGUCAAACAAGGUGAGAGCAUGUUGAGAGAUGGAUAAGUCCAUCACUGGUCCAGACUAUGGGGGACCCAUGACGUCUCUGCCUACCCUAGCUGCCGGCGGGUACGGGCUGGCACUGGCUACAGAUGCAGGAGAGGAUGUCUGAAGCAUUGUUCUGGCGAAGGCUUGCAGAGGGCACAGAGCCUUGGGGAGAGAGGGGACAGCCAUGGGGGCUCUCGCCAGCCCCUGCCUGUUCAAAGUGUGUGUCCAUCUGACUCCCAUAAGGCCCUGGGCUUGCACUUGUAGGCACUUGCAGGAGCAGAGGACUUGUGGGGCUCCCUCUUUGAUACAGUCUGGCA